AGAAGAUUAGGUAUUAAAUCAUAUUGUUGCACUUUGGAGAGAGAGAGAGAUGGUUUCUCCAUUGGACCUUUAGCUUGAAGGAGUCAUGCCUGUGUUCGUUGUUCUCUCUCAUCUUUCAGGGCAUUAAAAGCAAUGAUGGUGUACAGAAA